UGGUGAUAAUAGCGGCAGGGAAUACACCUCUUCUCAUUCCAAACAGAGAAGUGAAGAUUGCUUACGUCAAUGGUACUGCAAUUUGCGGAAGACGAAGUUGCUGAAAAA
rnacentral:rRNA from 2 species